ACUAAGCCAGCUCAUUUCUAAUUCUGUGAACCACCAAUUUAUGACCAUAAAAUCAAAAAGAUAUUCAAGCCAAUUUGGAUGUUGAGAUAUUGUUCUUUUGGGUUUAUAAAAAGCUGAGCUGUUAGAAUUCCUUUGUCAGACAUCGACCAUAGAGCUUGAGAACAAGCCCUUCAAAUAGAAUUACCCCACUCUAACUAUCAUUGAGGCCUUUUGAAUUAAAACCCCACACCUGACGGAUUGAGCAGGUGGCCAAAUGGGGACAAUAUCGGUGUUGUUGGAGUAGGCCCAUGGCCCAUCUACCUGAAAUUUAAGAUGGUCUCAGAGCCAGGGGACGGGUCCUUACAUCCACGUGAACGGGUGGGUCUCCUUUGGCCCCACGCAAAUGGGUGAGCCCUGACAUGGCUCCACGUAGGCCAAAAGAUGCCGCAUGCAUUGGCCCAGCGCGAACUGGUGAGCUCUGGCUU
rnacentral:lncRNA from 1 species